rnacentral:rRNA from 1 species
CCUACGGGAGGCAGCAGUGGGGAAUAUUGCACAAUGGGGGAAACCCUGAUGCAGCGACGCCGCGUGAGUGAAGAAGUAUUUCGGUACGUAAAGCUCUAUCAGCAGGGAAGAAAAUGACGGUACCUGACUAAGAAGCCCCGGCUAACUACGUGCCAGCAGCCGCGGUAAUACGUAGGGGGCAAGCGUUAUCCGGAUUUACUGGGUGUAAAGGGAGCGUAGACGGCAGCGCAAGUCUGGAGUGAAAUCCCAUGGCUUAACCAUGGACCUGCUUUGGAAACUGUGCAGCUUGAGUGCAGGAGAGGUAAGCGGAAUUCCUAGUGUAGCGGUGAAAUGCGUAGAUAUUAGGAGGAACACCAGUGGCGAAGGCGGCAUACCGGCGCUCAACUGACGCUCAUGCACGAAAGUGUGGGUAUCGAACAGGAUUAGAUACCCGGGUAGUC